rnacentral:rRNA from 1 species
GAUGAACGCUGGCGGCGUGCCUAAUACAUGCAAGUCGAGCGAACGGACGAGAAGCUUGCUUCUCUGAUGUUAGCGGCGGACGGGUGAGUAACACGUGGAUAACCUACCUAUAAGACUGGGAUAACUUCGGGAAACCGGAGCUAAUACCGGAUAAUAUUUUGAACCGCAUGGUUCAAAAGUGAAAGACGGUCUUGCUGUCACCUAUAGAUGGAUCCGCGCUGCAUUAGCUAGUUGGUAAGGUAACGGCUUACCAAGGCCACGAUGCAUAGCCGACCUGAGAGGGUGAUCGGCCACACUGGAACUGAGACACGGUCCAGACUCCUACGGGAGGCAGCAGUAGGGAAUCUUCCGCAAUGGGCGAAAGCCUGACGGAGCAACGCCGCGUGAGUGAUGAAGGUCUUCGGAUCGUAAAACUCUGUUAUUAGGGAAGAACAUAUGUGUAAGUAACUGUGCACAUCUUGACGGUACCUAAUCAGAAAGCCACGGCUAACUACGUG